GACGAACCGAGCGAACGUUGUUCGGAAUCACUGGGCUUAAAGGGCGCGUAGGCGGGUGCUCAAGUCUGUGGUGAAAUCCUCCAGCUUAACUGGAGAACUGCCAUGGAUACUGGGUGUCUCGAGGAAGAUAGGGGUAUGCGGAACGAUUGGUGGAGCGGUGAAAUGCGUUGAUAUCAAUCGGAACUCCGGUGGCGAAGGCGGCAUACUGGAUCUUAUCUGACGCUGAGGCGCGAAAGCGUGGGGAGCAAACGGG
rnacentral:rRNA from 1 species